rnacentral:rRNA from 1 species
GUUGCAAAGCACUUUGAAGGGAGAGUUAAGGAGGACGUGAAACCGGUGAGGUGGAAACGGAUAGAGUCGGCGUAUCUUGCAAGUAUUCAUUUACAUUUAGUUGUAUUUUUUAGCUUUGAGCUCCAGAUUGGGACAGAGUUGAAUUAUAUGAUUAUUUGUGAUGCAUUUACUUGCUUGGUGCGUGGGGAUUUCUGAGACAGAUUUGUGCCCUACGUUUUGAGGCCAGCUUGCUGGUACCCGAAUUUGGUUAGCAAUUUUUGUUUUAGUUGUAAAAAAAGUAUGGCUUACGGACUUUAUAUGGAUUGAUUUGGUUGUAAGUUACGGUCGCAUGCGACACGUGCUUUUCAAUCUUUUCGGUCUGUGUAAUGUUCUCAUACUUAUUCCCCAUGUAAAAGCCGGUCAUCUAUCCGACCCGUCUUGAAACACGGACCAAGGAGUUUAUCGUG